UACGUAGGCAGCAAGCGUUGUUCGGAAUUACUGGGCGUAAAGCGUGCGUAGACGGUUAUUUAAGUCAGGUGUGAAAGCCCCGGGCUCAACCUGGGAAUUGCAUUUGAGACUGAAUAGCUAGGGUGCGGAAGAGGGAAGCGGAAUUUCCGGUGUAGCGGUGAAAUGCGUAGAUAUCGGAAGGAACACCAGUGGCGAAAGCGGCUUCCUGGUCCAGCACCGACGUUCAGGCACGAAAGCGUGGGGAGCAAACAGG
rnacentral:rRNA from 1 species